UACGUAGGGUGCAAGCGUUGUCCGGAAUUAUUGGGCGUAAAGGGCUCGUAGGCGGUUUGUCGCGUCGGGAGUGAAAACACCGGGCUUAACUCGGUGCUUGCUUUCGAUACGGGCAGACUAGGGGUAUGCAGGGGAGAACGGAAUUCCUGGUGUAGCGGUGAAAUGCGCAGAUAUCAGGAGGAACACCGGUGGCGAAGGCGGUUCUCUGGGCAUUACCUGACGCUGAGGAGCGAAAGUGUGGGGAGCGAACAGG
rnacentral:rRNA from 1 species